rnacentral:rRNA from 1 species
GACGAACGCUGGCGGCGUGCCUAAUACAUGCAAGUCGAGCGGACUUUCAAGAAGCUUGCUUUUUGAAAGUUAGCGGCGGACGGGUGAGUAACACGUGGGCAACCUGCCUGCAAGACGGGGAUAACUCCGGGAAACCGGGGCUAAUACCGGAUAAUAUCUUCCUUCGCAUGAAGGAAGGUUGAAAGGCGGCGCAAGCUGCCGCUUGCAGAUGGGCCCGCGGCGCAUUAGCUAGUUGGUGAGGUAACGGCUCACCAAGGCGACGAUGCGUAGCCGACCUGAGAGGGUGAUCGGCCACACUGGGACUGAGACACGGCCCAGACUCCUACGGGAGGCAGCAGUAGGGAAUCUUCCGCAAUGGACGAAAGUCGGACGGAGCAACGCCGCGUGAGCGAAGAAGGUCGUCGGAUCGUAAAGCUCUGUUGUCAGGGAAGAACAAGUACCGUUCGAACAGGGCGGUACCUUGACGGUACCUGACCAGAAAGCCACGGCUAACUACGUG